rnacentral:ncRNA from 2 species
UCCUUACCUGAUCCGGACGGUUCCUCAUCGAGGAUUAAACGGGAACGCGGUGGGGGAGACCCGAUUCCGCGGCUGCCCCCGCAACUGUAAGCGGCGAGCCUUUGCCGGAUGCCACUGGGUUCUUUUCUUGCCCGGGAAGGCGGCGAUAGGCGGUGACCCGCGAGCCAGGAGACCUGCCGUCAGUCGUGGUCACAC